AUGUUAUUGAAGCACUCUUGUCCAUGCAGCCUUGUCUUCCACCCACAACUUAUCAUCUUCUCAGUGAACUUCAGUUUCUGCUGCACUGAUGUACGUAGUACUGAUGGCCUGAAGUUCCUUGCAUUUCUCAUUCAAGGUUUAAGUCGCUAUUCUUAUUCAAGGAGAACAGAACUAUCGGUCAAAGGCUGGCGAGUUUACUGGAGAAAGAGCAAAAACAUCGGUCAAAGGGAAGCACCCCACAAAGCUUUCUGGGUCAGUGGAAGAAGGGCACUUGUUCCUGCCAUGAAGCAAACAGGAAUGGCAGUACCUUCCAGAUGA
rnacentral:rRNA from 1 species